CGUCUGUGACCUACACCACAGCUCACGGCAACACCGGAUCCUUAACCCACUGAGCAAGGCCAGGGAUUGAACCUGCAACCUCAUGGUUCCUAGUCGGAUUCGUUAACCACUGAGCCACGACGGGAACUCCAAAUAACACCUUCUUCUAGAAAACUACUAAUCUAACUUGUACACAAGAUUUUAGGUCCAACAGGGCUUUCUGUAAUUUUUUUUUUUUUUUUUUUUUUUACAGCUGGCACUUGAGGUGUAUGGAAAUUCCUGGGCUACGGAUUGAAUUGGAGCUGCAGCUGCUGGCCAACACUGGAUCAGAGCUGCACCUGUGAGCUAAACCGGCUUGGGGCAACGCCAGAUCCUUAACCCACUAAGCCAGGCCAAGGAUCGAACCUACAUCCUUACAGAGGCAGUGCUGGUUCUUAACACCCUGAGCCACAAGAGGAACUCCUGCAAUAUCUUCUUUAUUCAAACUUUCCCCCAUCUUCCUACCUCAGAGCUUGUCAUUUUUAGUUGUCUUGUCUCUGGGGUUAACAUGAAGAGCAGGGACUUACCUCUGGUUUCAUUUUUUCACUGUGUUGACUGAAGACUGAAAUCCUUAUAUGGAAGAUUUUCUUAGGUUUGGUUCCCUGGAGACAGAUCCUGAGACAGAGUUGCAUGCAGCAAGUUUAUUGGGGAAGUGUCUUGGGAGAUGCACCUAUAAGGACCUGGGGAAGGCAGGAGUGGGGGAGGCAGUAGUUGGGCUAUGAUGCAGCUGCAGCAGAAGCUUCAGCCAUUCCCUUGGAAGCUCUGGAGCUGGGACGGUCCUUGAGAGAUGUCGGGACUACUUUGCAUCCUUACAUUGGCCCAUCAUUGGUUGCUAGCUGUCCCUGGGAGAGAAGAUAACCUUAGCUGAAGUGGUUCUCUGUAGCCAAAGACAAUUCCUUGGUGAGACAUGAAGCUCUGACCCGUCAGCAGCUAACAGUCCUAACACCUGGGGCAUGAGUACACCAUUCCAGAAGACAGGACCUUAACAGAGCCCCUCAGCAUCCUCUCUGGUUCGCUCAGAUCCGCUGGGAUCUAAGAGUCAUUUUGUCUUAUCUGGAAAUAGCGUCUCCAGGGUUCUGGAUGGUCUUAUUUCUUGUGAAAGCUUAGAAGCACCAAUGGGAUGCAUAAUAGCCCGACAGUUGCAGUUGAACUUAAAUGUUCAUAAUUGACACUUGUGGUCCUUAUCCUCUACCACGCACCCUAGGUGUCUCUCACCCUCAGCCAUCAUGUAUACUUGUCCAGGGAGAUUACCUGGUGGGGAUUUUAGACUCUCUUUGCUGAGCUACCAGUCCUUCCCAAGCUGUGGCUGCUAUGCCUGUUUAUAAACCACUAAAUCCUGGCAUGGUAGCACCAAAACCAUCCAUCCAGGGCCCUGCAGGCAAGAAAGGCAAACCUAUACUUGGAAUGUGUGUCCAUUCUAGUCAAGAUAAACUGCUCCUCCUUUUAGAGUGGAAAAGAUUCAAAAGAAUUGACUCGAUACCAAACUACUGAUUGGUCUACUCAAGGGAGGUUGCCAUUUUGGAGACCCACCAUUACUCUGCUACCCACAGGUUGGAUGGACAUUCAACAGCAUCAUUAGCUAAAACAGAUUUUGGAAGCAUGUUGUUGGGCCCAUGCUUAAGCCUUUAUCUCUGCCAUCAUGGUAGCUCUAUUCACAAAUCCACUGUAUGGGCACUAGGUUGAAGAGAACAGACUAUUACCUGAGUCACUUGGUUAUUUAGUGCCUCUUCUGCAAUAUAUGCUAUCUGGUAGUGCCCACUACCACAGGCCCAUCCAAGGGCCUUCUCCACAGACAUCUUAGUCCUCAGUCUUUCCAUACCAACCAGGCCAUCUGCCACAUGCUCUGCUUCCAAGGACCAUUCUAGAUACCAACUGUUUUAGGUGGGGUGCUCUGGAAACCAGACGCUGAGAUUGACUGCAGAAGAUUUAUUUUGGGAUGCACUCAGGAGAUUUAUCUUUAAAGACAUGAGCAUGCAGCACUGGGGAGAUGGGCAAAUUUAAGCAAGGGAGGCAGUAAUUUUUAUCCUCAUACCAGUAAGUCAUUGGCUAUAGGCUGUCCCACUGAGGGAGUCAUAGUCUUGGAUGAGACAUAUCUUCAGCUGAGGGCAAUUUCUAGUGAGGGGUAUAACUAUGUGUUGUUAAGACAGUAUUUCCAGAAGCUGGGAGAUGGUUAUGUCAGUCCUGAAGGAGCAAUCUAGUCAGUGAAUCAUAGUAGCCACUACAGUGUUAGACCAUCUAUUUGUCUAAUUCAGGUUCAAGUUUUAUCUUAAUAUUGCUAGUGCAUUGGUGGUGGCUGUGGGCAAGAAGCCUCAAUCCCUGGCCACAUGAACCUUUCCAUGAGCCGCUGAUUGAUCCUUGGGAAAAUGAUCCAAGAGAAAGCAAGGCAGAAGCUGUCUUUGAUGACCCAAACUAGAAAGUGACAUAUUGUCACUUCUACAAAUCCUUUUGGCAAUGCACAUUGUCCCUAGUGACUGCAGAAAGUGACUAUACAAAGGCAUGAAUACCAGAAGGCGAAGACCAUUGGGGUUAUCUUGGAGACAAGUUACUACAAUGAGGUUUCACAGAUCUAGAAGACUUGAGCCAAAGCUCCUUCUAUCAAAUGCUCAUGUCAUUUUAAUAUUUAACUCAGUGUCUAAGGGGGUGGAGUGGGGUGGAGGACUAAGGGGCUAUAAAUAUCCAGAACUUGAAAGCGCUUGGAAUCCAUCCUACUCGAGGAUCAGCACUUCCCUCUCUGCUGCACUGUUUAAUAACUAUAUUUCCAGAAAGCAAUCUAUCAUUGCAAUAAUCUUCUCUUGCUGCAGAUUAUGCCAAAGAUUAAAAUACAUUAUUUAUUGUUCUAGAAAUACGUUGGAAAAUCAUGUCUUUGUGCUCAGAGAACGUGCUAAAAAUUGCAUCCAUUCUGAUUGGGGUCUUCUCAUAUUUUCCAGGAUUCUGUAGAAAAGCCUAUAUAUCAUCAUCCUGGAGAUCUGAGUACUAAAUGGUGGGUUUUUGACUAUUUUACACUUUUAUUCAAGACAAAGUAUCUAAGUUGACAAUCAGUGAUUAUACCCAUAUACAAUUAUCCAGGCCAGUUAGCCAGUGCUCUAAGGUAAACAGCUAAACUUGGCUUGAGGGAUACUGCCACGAAAGAAAAAUACAUGGUUCCUCCUCUCAAAGACAUGGGUAUCAUGUGAGAGAAACAGCACAAACCCAUAAUGAGCGCAUGAGAACUAAACACACUGGAAACUUGCAUGGGAAUAAACCUUUGGCAGAGCUCUCUCUGGCCUCCCUCGAUCAGCAAACACUUUGCUAACCUAGAAACGAACCCAAUUUGAAAAGAGAAUAGCAAAUCCCUUUGCUAGAUUUAUAUCAGGGAUGGCAUGGGAUAGAGGAGAGGAAGGGUCAGUAGACUUUUCUGCCCAGAGGAGUCAACGCCAGCUAUAAAUGGAAUGCUGCCUCCAAGACACCCUCUCUACCCACCCGAUCACACCACAUCCCCUUGACUGAGGGAUGCCCUUUUACCCAAGGCUGUAAUUCAUUUCCAUGACUACCAGGAAGACCAGAACAAACACCUUCCUUCCAACUGGAACUGCAUUUAUUUCGUAGGUAUAAAAUCAAUAUCUUUUACUUUGUGGAGAUGUGUACAAUCGGUUUAGAAGCAUUAUACGCAGGUCUGAUGGAAAAGUCUGUUAUCUGAACUGCGUUUACACGCUGGGCUUGGAAUCAAAGGGACUGAGAGCCUUCAUUUACUUACGCAUCCAUUCAACGAAUGUAUAGCUCAUGCAGGUGCCAUGCUAGGCAAGGAGCACAAGGAGCUUAGAAGAAUAAAUAAAUAAAAGAAUCCCUAUUUUAAGAUCCACAAACUCUAAAGGGAAAAUAGACAACUAUGAUAUAAAUUGAUAAACCCUAUGCUAGAAAUGGGCAAUGAGCUUUGGGAGAAAAAUCUUACAAUUUGUUAGGUAAAGAGAGGGAAGAAAAUGUGCUCUAAGGAAAGGAAGCCAUAUUUUCCAAGACUCAGAAACCAGAACGAACAUGAUUUGUGCAGUCAACUGCUAACUUUGGCUGGAGUUUAAAAAACUAGGGGGGAGCUGGUAAGAGAUGAAGCUGAAGACCACAAGUCUGAUCAGGACAGAUUUGGUGAGCCCUAUCUUGGAGCUAGGGUUUAUUCUGAAGGUGGCUGAGAGCUUCUAAAAGACAUUAAAGGGAGGAACAUGAUUAUAUGUGCUUAAAAAAGUCACUCUGGGAACAGCAAGGAAGAAGGAUAAGAAUGGAUCAGAACAGAUCCCCAGGGAACUCCCGCAUUUACCAGGGAGAACAGAGCCAAGAGGAAAACUGCAAAGGAGUGGCCAAAGAAUUAAGAGGAAACCCGGGAGAGAGCAGUUCUGUGGAUUCGAAGAAGAGUGUCUCAAGACACAGGGAGAGGAGUUUCCAUCUUGGCUCAGCGGUAACAACCCUGACUAGUAUCCGUGAGGACGUGGGUUCAAUCCCUGACCUCGCUCAGUGGGAUAAGGAUCCGGUGUUGCUGUGAGGUGUGGUAUAGGCUGCAGUCGUGGCUCGCAUCUGGCAUUGUUGUGGCUGUGGUGUAGGCUGGCUGAUGCAGCUCUGAUUCCACCCCUGGCCUGGGAAUUUCCAUAUGCCAUGGGUGUGGCC
rnacentral:lncRNA from 1 species